CUUCCCGGUCGGCGGGUGGUGACGGCGGCCGUGCGUGCGAGGGAACCGUUGCUUCUCCGAGUCGCUCUCUCCCAGGCUCUGUCCCUGUGGUCGGCAUGGCCCGUGGAAAUCAAAGAGAACUUGCCCGCCAGAAAAACAUGAAGAAAACCCAGGAGAUUAGCAAGGGAAAAAGAAAAGAGGAUAGCUUGACUACCUCACAGAGGAAGCAGAGGGAUUCUGAGAUCAUGCAACAAAAGCAGAAGGCAGCUAACGAGAAGAAGUCUAUGCAGACAAGAGAAAAAUGAUGACUGGCUAGUUUGGAAUACCUGGUGCUCCUGCCAACAAGGUGUAUCAUAUGCUCUGAGAUCAAGAUUUUGUAGAGUGAACCAUCAUUACAUAUAACUUAUCCUUAUAAAACGGUCUAUUUUAAACUUUACCUUUCAACCUGAUUUAGUGUGAUGUUUUAGAACCAUUCUUCAAAAAAUAAAACACUAACCAUGCAUGUAA